ACAGCUCGAAAGCCGCGAGGCUCACACCGUACAGGAAUGCACCUCGUCGUGUUUCUAUCUUCGUGAGCGGGCUAAGGUCUGAGUAUUCACAUCUCCCUGUGAUCGGCUCUAGCUGGGCUUCAUGCUAAUGCGUGGAACGACGUACAAGAAAAACAGGUUACAGUUCUAAUGAACACCCACGAUCCUUAUCACAAGGGGAGGGAAUAGAGCUGUGGUCUUUGGAAACGUCGUGGAGAUUGGGUAGAUGUCACUGGUCGUGGAAUAUCCGGAUAGUCUUUAUCGUGGACUUGGUGCUCUCGUAGUGCCCCAAAGCCCUCGGUGUUGUGACCGUACAUACAGUCACAACCGCCAGUCUAUAUCGACGAGGAAUGAAGAACAUAUCAAGAUUAGAAUGCUCGGCAGUCUUUGACUUGAAUAUACAUAUGUGCUUGUGUGAAUCGUCUAGGCUGGAGCUUUUGGUUCGAGUCCGUAUGAGGGGUGCUCUUCGUUUUAUUCCAUCGCUAGGCUUCCGUCCUUGAGUUCACUUCGCGGCUCGUGGGACAUUUCUUGUUCGCGAAACUCGAUUCAGACUACUCUCGGACUGU
rnacentral:RNase_P_RNA from 2 species